UCGAUUUGAAGGUUGUAAUCUUUGAAUUAUGGCUUUCGGAGCUAACGCGUUAAAUCGACCGCCUGGGGAGUACGGUCGCAAGGUUAAAACUCAAAUGAAUUGACGGGGGCCCGCACAAGCGGUGGAGCAUGUGGUUUAAUUCGAUGCAACGCGAAGAACCUUACCUACCCUUGACAUCCAAAGAACUGCGUAGAGAUACACAGGUGCCUUCGGGAGCUUUGAGACAGGUGCUGCAUGGCUGUCGUCAGCUCGUGUUGUGAAAUGUUGGGUUAAGUCCCGCAACGAGCGCAACCCUUAUCCUUUGUUGCCAUCGAGUUAUGUCUGGAACUCAAAGGAGACUGCCGGUGAUAAGCCGGAGGAAGGUGGGGAUGACGUCAAGUCAUCAUGGCCCUUACGGGUAGGGCUACAAACGUGCUACAAUGGUAAAUACAAAGAGAAGCGAUCUUGUAAAAGUCAGCAAACCUCAUAAAAUUUAUCGUAGUCCGGAUUGGAGUCUGCAACUCGACUCCAUGAAGUCGGAAUCGCUAGUAAUCGUGAAUCAGAAUGUCACGGUGAAUACGUUCCCGGGCC
rnacentral:rRNA from 1 species